AACGGUCAUACCAUGCUGAAUAUACCGGUUCUCGUUAGAUCACCGAAGUCAAGCAUCAUUGGGCGCGGUCAGUACUUGGGUGGGUGACCACAUGGGAACACCGCGUGCCGUU
rnacentral:rRNA from 1 species